GAGAUACUCACUCCGUCCGGAAUACGUUGUCAUUCAAAUGAAUAAAAAUGAAUAUAUCUAAAAUUAAAAUACAUCUAGAUACAUUCAUUUCUAUGACAAAUAUUUUCGGACGGAGGGAGUAUGUG
rfam:Hordeum vulgare subsp. vulgare, WGS project CAJW01000000 data, contig: morex_contig_135946